rnacentral:sRNA from 1 species
AGGAAUGUCUGAAGACCUGUUGAUUUUAAAAAUAAACAACAGAUUGAAUUAGUUUAGAAUUGCGA